GGACAUUAGCAGAAGAAUCUACCUGCAAAUUAGACAAAAGAGCUUCAUGGCUAUGAAGAUGGUGAUGAUGCUGACAAAAAAAUGGACAUGGUGAUGAUGAUGAUCUUGGGAUGAUGUUAUUAGAGGAUUACACAUGGACUUUUGAAGACAUUUGUCUUUAUUUAGUUAUUGAAAAGUUAUCAUGUCAAGAACUUGUAUUUUAUUUGUGUUGUAUGAACUUGUGUUUUAUUUGAUGCUAUUUGAACUUAUAGUAGCAAUGUCCUACUGGACUUAAUUAUUUCCUUACUGAGGUUUAUUAUUUACUUCAUCAUGGGAUUGACAUGUUGAUUUAUUAUAAUAUUUAUAGACAUUUAAUAUUUUCUUUUAUGUGUAGUAAACUCUUACAAAUUGGGAGAGCUCUUACAAGUUUACGUAAA
rnacentral:sRNA from 1 species